UUCAACAUGCGCGCUAGUUGUUGGGUAGUUGAAGCCCGCUAGCNUAGUGAAAGCAAGACACAGUGCAACGCUGUGUAUUGGCGAGAUCCUGUGUGGCAGGCUGUUAAAGGUCGGCAGCAGGCGCAUCGCCGGCCCGUCAAAAGCUCACGUGGCUUUGGCGGAGCUUGAGCGUGCACGUUGAGACCCGAAAGAUGGUGAACUAUGCCUGGGCAGGAUGAAGCCAGGGGAAACUCUGGUGGAGGUCCGUAGCGAUUCUGACGUGCAAAUCGAUCGUCUGACCUGGGUAUAGGGGCGAAAGACUAAUCGAACCAUCUAGUAGCUGGUUCCCUCCGAAGUUUCCCUCAGGAUAGCUGGCACUCGGAGAACGUAGUCUCUCCCGGUAAAGCGAAUGAUUAGAGGUCUUGGGGUCGAAACGGCCUCAACCUAUUCUCAAACUUUAAAUGGGUGAGAAGUCUGGCUUGCUUAAAUGCGUUAGCUGAAGUCUGGACGUUGGAUACGAG
rnacentral:rRNA from 1 species